rnacentral:rRNA from 1 species
GAUGAACGCUGGCGGUCUGCCUAACACAUGCAAGUCGAACGAACUCUUCGGAGUGAGUGGCGGACGGGUGAGUAACGCGUGAGAAUCUGCCUGUGGGUCGGGGACAACCACUGGAAACGGUGGCUAAUACCGGAUGAGCCGAAAGGUAAAGAUUUAUUGCCCACAGAUGAGCUCGCGUCUGAUUAGCUAGUUGGUAAGGUAAAAGCGUACCAAGGCGACGAUCAGUAGCUGGUCUGAGAGGAUGAGCAGCCACACUGGGACUGAGACACGGCCCAGACUCCUACGGGAGGCAGCAGUGGGAAUAUUGGUCAAUGGGUGAGAGCCUGAACCGGCCAUGCCGCGUGCAGGAUGACGGCCCUAUGGGUU